AUGACCAUGCUUCCACAGAACCACCAAGCCAGGGCAAAUUUCAGGAAUAACUUCAGGAGUUGCAGAGUAAAGCUGAUGGAAAAGGGCCUCUUCAUGGACUAUUCUAGAACAAACCAGGAAAAGGGAACACAGGAAAGAAUGAACGACAAAAAGUUGUCAAACAGUGAAUAUCUGGGCAACAUGAAGAGAAGAGGACCAAGUCUAGUUCCCAGAACAAAUGCCUUCUCUUUGGGCUGAAACAUGAGUUGUGAAUUAAAGGAGGUAAGGGUAACUGAAAACUCUCCAAGUCUAUGUUUACUUAAGAUUACAGCCCUCCAGAAAGUGGUCCUCUGAUCUCCACAUUGCAUAAACUCUCUCUCUCUCUCUCUCUCUCUCUCUCUCUCUCUCUCUCUCUCUCUCUCUCACACACACACACACACACACACACAAAUAAAUGCAAGUAUU
rnacentral:lncRNA from 1 species